rnacentral:rRNA from 1 species
AACGAACGCUGGCGGCAUGCCUAACACAUGCAAGUCGAACGAGACCUUCGGGUCUAGUGGCGCACGGGUGCGUAACGCGUGGGAACCUGCCCUUAGGUUCGGUAUAACUCCCCGUAAGGGGUGCUAAUACCGGUUAAUGUCUUCGGACCAAAGAUCUAUCGCCUUUGGAUGGGCCCGCGUUGGAUUAGCUAGUUGGUAGGGUAAAAGCCUACCAAGGCGACGAUCCAUAGCUGGUCUGAGAGGAUGAUCAGCCACACUGGGACUGAGACACGGCCCAGACUCCUACGGGAGGCUGCAGUGUGGAAUAUUGGACGAUGGGCGAAAGCCUGAUCCAGCAAUGCCGCGUGAGUGAUGAAGGCCUUAGGGUUGUACAGCUCUUUUACCCGAGAUGAUAAUGACAGUACCGGGAGAAUAAGCUCCGGCUAACUACGUG